AUUGACGGACUGAAGGCUCUUUCUCGAUUCCGUGGAAAGUGGUGCAUGGCCGUUUUUGGUUGGUGGAUCGAUCCGUCUGGUUAAUUCCGUUAACGAACGAGACCUCGGCACUCCGAAUAGCGCGGCGGACGUCGCGGCCUCCGGGCCGUCUUCCGCACGAGCUUCUUAGAGGGACCGUCCCCCGCCGGGGAAGGAGGUGCGAGGCAACGACAGGUCUGUGAUGCCCUUAGAUGUUCUGGGCCGCACGCGCAUUACACUGACGCGUCCAACGGGUGACUCCCGACCCGAAGGGGCCGGGGAAUCCGCAAGGCGCGUCGUGAUGGGGAUUGAACGUUGCAAUUGUUGUUCACGAACGAGGAAUUCCUAGUAGGCGCGGGUCAUCAACCCGCGCCGAUUACGUCCCUGCCCUUUGUACACACCGCCCC
rnacentral:rRNA from 1 species